ensembl:lncRNA
GCAAAUCUCUCUCACAGAAGAAUUUCAAAUAAUUUACGUAUUAAUAGACACCACUCCCCUCUCUGAGGGGGAGAGCUUAAUUCUCUUCUCCUUUAGUGUAGGUAGACGUAGCACCACCCUGUUAGAAAACAGAAAACAGUUGUCCCUAGGCAGCGGAGAAAACGAAUGAACAGUACCUUAAUCAUGUGAUCACCUCACCAGUGAUUGAUAGGUGGUUUUAACAUUAUGUUCCUUAUUAUGUUCCCCAGGAUGAAUGGGGCGUGCUACCUCUGGGGUAUCCUUCUCUCAAGUCACGAGAAAACAAUAAAUAAACUAAAAUAGAGGGAUGUUCUACAACAUAUCUGACCAGUACUCUUCAAAAGUGUCAAGGUCAUGAAACGUUGGGAAAAGUAAGAAACUUUCACAGAUAAAGGAGACUAAGGAGACACGAUGCAAUGUGGUCCCCUGGAUCCUGGGACAGAGAAGGAAUAUUAGUGGAAAAACUGGUGAAAUCCAAAUGAAGUCUGUAGAUUAAUUAGAGUGACUGAACUGAACUAAUUAAUGUUAACUUCUUAGUUUUGACAAAUGACUCAUGAGUAUGUAGACAUACUCAUGAGUAUGUUAAGGUUAGGAGAAGCUGGAUGAAAGUAUAUGGGAACAUUCUGUUUGAUUUUAGCAACUUUUCUAUAAAUCAGGUAUUACCCCAAAAUACAAGCUGGAAAGAAAGAAAGAAAUACAUCUUACUGUCUGUGCAGGGCUUCUCAAUUUGUCUUCAAAGAUUCAUCUGUAAGUUUUUCAAAAUUACAUGCCUGGGCACCACUUGGGAGAGUCUGAUUCAGUGGGAUGUGACUGAGUCAGGAAAACUACAAUACAUAAUUGUAAAGUGGCACAGAAGAGCCUCAUAUACUUCAGAUAUUGCAAAAACCACUUGUCCAUAGUACAAACAGAGCCUGCCUAUUUCCCCUAGGUAGACUUUUAAACUUCUUAUAGUAAACAAUUGCUCAGAGACCACAACCAGAACUGCCUUUAUAAUUAUAAUUAACAGUAUACAAAUAAAUAAGGCAUUCUGAAUAUAAGGAGUAUAACUGGUGGAUUAAUAGUUUAUCACACAAGGAACUGCAUGACUAUGUAUUUUACUUCUAAAUACAGUACAUUAUACAUUUUCCACUUGACACCCAUCAGCCCAAGAGCUUAUUGAAUAUUUAUGAGCCAAGAAAUU